GCUGACCGGAGUGGUUGUCAAGGGUGAUGGACCCGGAUGCAGCUGUCCAGAGCGAGCCUUCAGACAAUCGUUUGCCUUGUUUUUCCGCCCCUGCCUAGGCUAUGAUGCUUGUCUCCAUUCCUCUCCCUCCUUCUAGUCCUUCUGCUCAAGCUGCAGGGUGGGUGGGGAGAGGCCUUGGGGAUUGAGGCGGCGUCACAGAUGGGUAUCUCCAGCAGGACAAGCCAGCGCCCCACCACCCAGCUUCCUUGGUAGAUGGGCACAGAGAAAGGGACCAGAGGAGGAAAGCGGAGUGCAGAGACUCGUUGUGGGUCAUCUAGGAGACUGCCCGGUUCUUAAGGUUGCUGGCCGGAGCUUCAGGGCACUUGGACCAAGUUGCCACUCGGAAGGAGGACAUUGGACUUCUGCUCAGUUUCACAGCAGCUACCACAGAGUAACCAGGCUGUCUCUGUCGUACAUUCCUGCCAUGAUACACCAAGCCCUGCAGGCCCAAGCGACAGGGCCCAGUGACCAUGGACCAGAGCUUCUGAAACUAGGAACCAAAUCCUUCUUCUUCAUAAGCUAAUUUAUGUCAGGUAUUUUAUCACAGCGAUUGAAAACUGACUAACCCCCACCCCCCCAACCUACACCAGUACACAAAGAUUUGUCGCUGUCAACACAGAAAGCCACAGGCUUUUAAAGAUGGAUUUGAGCAAGGCAGCACAGUGCAAUAAACAUCCAGCCUUCAAAGUUUGGAACGGGCCAUAUUUAUUUCUCGAUCUAAGCCCUGCUGUGCACACCUGUAAUGGCAGCCUUUGGGAGGUGGGAGGAGGAGGGUGGAGAGAGUUCAAGGCCAACCUCAGCUAUACAGUGUAUUGGAGGCCAGGCUGGACUUCAGAGUGAGACCUUGUCGCAAACAAACUGUCACGUGGUGACAUUGUCGCUUCUGUGUUCCCCUUACUGCUGAGCCAGAGCUUGGCUCAUAGCACACUCAAUAAGAACCUGGGGAGUGGAAUUAAACUGUGGGCAUGUUAGUGUGGUGUUAAUUUGCAAGGCAGUAUUAGAAAUUCCAUUUGGAUGUCUAAAUAAAGCUUUAAAAUUGUU